GGGGAAUAUUGGACAAUGGGCGAAAGCCUGAUCCAGCCAUGCCGCGUGUGUGAAGAAGGUCUUCGGAUUGUAAAGCACUUUAAGUUGGGAGGAAGGGCAGUUACCUAAUACGUGAUUGUUUUGACGUUACCGACAGAAUAAGCACCGGCUAACUCUGUGCCAGCAGCCGCGGUAAUACAGAGGGUGCAAGCGUUAAUCGGAAUUACUGGGCGUAAAGCGCGCGUAGGUGGUUAGUUAAGUUGGAUGUGAAAUCCCCGGGCUCAACCUGGGAACUGCAUUGAAAACUGACUGACUAGAGUAUGGUAGAGGGGGGUGGAAUUUCCUGUGUAGCGGUGAAAUGCGUAGGUAUAGGAAGGAACACCAGUGGCGAAGGCAGCCCCCUGGGCCUGUACUGACGCUCAUGCACGAAAGCGUGGGGAGCAAACA
rnacentral:rRNA from 1 species